AUGUUUGGGCCUCCUUCAAGCCUCACCCCAAGGUGCCCCACAUAAGGCCUGUCUAUGGUGAGGUUGCCGAGAGUAAACACGGCGUUCUAUACAGAGUGGACUGGCAGGGGCUGAGCCGGCACCAGAACACAAGGCAUCUUUCUCUUUAAGCCACUCCAUCCUGAGAGUGACAGGUGAACUGCAGGUCAGAAGGAAGGAGGAGGGAGAGUGAGACAGAAAGAAGCAGGACUGCAGCCUCAAAGGGAGAGGCAGAGGAGGAACCUGAGACAGAACAUGUCCAAAGUUACACAUGCGGUACACAAUAGAGCGGGAAUCUGAACCAGGUAGUCUGCUUCUGACUCUGCAUUAUCUCAGUUAUGGUGGCACAGAACUUAAACUGACAGGAUAUGUGGCUAAGCCCACUAUCUCUACAGGACCCAACAAUUGUCAAGGCCAUGUAAAUCCAGCAUCUAACUUAACCAUCACUGCAAGCCCUGCAUCUCUCACCUGGAUGUAUCAGCCAAAGCUCUGAGGGGCUAAGACAUGGCUGAUCCAGUGGCACUAGCCUCACAUGCCCUUACUUCUGUCUAGCCCUCUGACAGGACACCAGCCUGAUUCUUAGGGCUGGGGAUGGAGCAGACACUCCCAAAAUUAUUGUUGGAUCUGAAGAAAUUGAUUUGGGAUAAGAAUGGAAGACCUGGAAGCAGAGGAAUAUAACAUACCUGGACUCUUAGGCCCAGAGUCGUCCUUAACUGCAGGCUUCGAUUCAUCAGCCGAUGGCCUUGAUGUCAUGGCCACGGCUGGGUUGAGCCAGGCCUCCGGGAAAACCCAGCCAGGAACUGCAGUGCGGGAGUCCGAUCCACAGACACAAGCCAUUACAGCAUCUCUUGCAUGCCCGCCAAGCUUCCUUCCCUCCCCCGCCAACACCUCCACCCCAACCCUCACCUCAAGUGCCAGCAGGAGCUCUCACUCUUCUCCUGGCCCCCACCCUGAUGCCAUCUGCCAGGCCGUGCACUGGCCUAGCUGUGCCCGGGAGUGGGCACCAUGCCAUGGCAGCACACAGGCCUGCAUGCCGGGCGACCAGGCGAGCAUGUGUGAGCCCUGCGUGUGCUCUCCCACAUUUCCCUUCGUCUUUCUGAUAUUUAGUUUCGAAAUCAGCCUUGCCACGUCUCUCCAUGGAAAAGCCCACUCUGCCUUUGUAGCAACGCCUCGCAAGCACCUGCCCGAGCUCCCGAGAGGGGCGCCAUGUGGACAGGUGACCGCCAGCUGGGGGUGGGGGGGCAUCCUAGGCCCUCGGCCACUUUUGCCACCUGUGAAUCCUGCAGUUCCAGCAAAGACAUUGCUCUGAUGGGGACUGUUCUGCAGGAAGGCAAAUGU
rnacentral:lncRNA from 1 species